UACGUAGGGUGCAAGCGUUGUCCGGAAUUAUUGGGCGUAAAGAGCUCGUAGGUGGCCUGUCGCGUCGGCUGUGAAAACUCGGGACUCAACUCCGAGCUUGCAGUCGAUACGGGCAGGCUAGAGUUCGGCAGGGGAGACUGGAAUUCCUGGUGUAGCGGUGAAAUGCGCAGAUAUCAGGAGGAACACCGGUGGCGAAGGCGGGUCUCUGGGCCGAUACUGACACUGAGGAGCGAAAGCGUGGGGAGCGAACAGG
rnacentral:rRNA from 1 species